rnacentral:rRNA from 1 species
CUUCGGAUCUAGUGGCGGACGGGUUAGUAACGCGUGGGAACGUACCCUUCACUACGGAAUAGUCCCGGGAAACUGGGUUUAAUACCGUAUACGCCCUUCGGGGGAAAGAAUUUCGGUGAGGGAUCGGCCCGCGUUAGAUUAGUUAGUUGGUGGGGUAAUGGCCUACCAAGACUACGAUCUAUAGCUGGUUUGAGAGGAUGAUCAGCAACACUGGGACUGAGACACGGCCCAGACUCCUACGGGAGGCAGCAGUGGGGAAUCUUAGACAAUGGGGGCAACCCUGAUCUAGCGAUGCCGCGUGAGUGAUGAAGGCCUUAGGGUCGUAAAGCUCUUUCGCCUGUGAUGAUAAUGACAGUAGCAGGUAAAGAAACCCCGGCUAACUCCGUGCCAGCAGCCGCGGUAAUACGGAGGGGGUUAGCGUUGUUCGGAAUUACUGGGCGUAAAGCGCACGUAGGCGGAUUAGUCAGUCAGAGGUGAAAUCCCAGGGCUCAACCCUGGAACUGCCUUUGAUACUGCUAGUCUUGAGUUCGAGAGAGGUAAGUGGAAUUCCGAGUGUAGAGGUGAAAUUCGUAGAUAUUCGGAGGAACACCAGUGGCGAAGGCGGCUUACUGGCUCGAUACUGACGCUGAGGUGCGAAAGUGUGGGGAGCAAACAGGAUUAGAUACCCUGGUAGUCCACACCGUAAACGAUGAAUGCCAGUCGUCGGGUAGCAUGCUAUUCGGUGACACACCUAACGGAUUAAGCAUUCCGCCUGGGGGAGUACGGGUCGCAAGAUUAAAACU